rnacentral:lncRNA from 1 species
AUGGAGCAAGGUUCAGGGUUACUCAUGCUCUCUAUGGCCUGGGUGCUACUGAUGUGCUGCUGCGGACGACCAUUUCCAGAGUGCCCGGAAGUAUCUCCAGGCCUGUGCCGCGCUCUCCGUCAGAUGAUAAGCGACACAGAGAGUUUGGCAGACCGCUACAGGAAAAGUGAAAACUUUACCGCUACUAGCUGCACGUCGAUGCGGCCUCUGCAUGAGAUCGAAUUUCCUGUCUGCGAUAGUGACUACAACCGUUCGACAUGUGCCUUCCUGGUCUACUUGAAGAACAGCAUUGUCUUUCAGCAGAACAUGGGCAAUAACAUUUGUGUCGACCUCCAAAGAUCCUUGGAAAGUGUGAAUAAUGAGCUGGCGUGGAAGGUGUCGUGUAAUGAGUAUACUCUGCAUGUGACGGAGGUCAAAGAGGAUUUUGAAAACAAGUGUCUGACCAUGAAAGUGCUUACAUACUUGAUCGUAUGGCUGAAAGAGUAUGCAAGCCCCCCUAAGUAUAUGCACGAGGCCGACUGUAAUCUAACCGAUUCAUGGCACUAAGGUUGCUCUGAAAGAUUGUUACACAUCUACAGAAGAGAUGAUAUGAAGAUAAUGAACGAAUGAAUGAAUGUAAUGUGUUGUUUUCAAAACAACUUGUGACUUAAUAUGUUUUCU